GCUCUUUCUGUUUCACAACAACAGGUGUGUGUUUGCCUUCUUAAAUGUAUUUUGCAUGACUUUCAUGCAUCACUGCUCCUCAGAGUUUAAGUUCUUGUGUCACAGAGAGUCUGAACUGUUUUCAUGCACUCACACUGAAAACUGCAUCAGGAUGAUGUCGCCAAUAACUCUGCUGGUCAUGUUGGGUUUUCUGAGUCAGGAGUCUUCUGCCAGCAAAUUUCUGACUCAGACUGACAAAUUCAAGUCUGUUAGUCUUGGAGGGACGGUGACCAUCAGCGCCACAGGGAGUUCAGAUAUUGGUGCUGAUCUCAGUUGGUACCUUCAGAAACCUGGACAAGCUACCAAACUUCUAAUAUACGAUGAAUCAACUCUAAAAUCAGGAACUCCAUCUCGAUUCAGUGGCAGUACUUCUGGUUCUGGCUACACUCUGACCAUCAGUGGUGUUCAGGCUGAAGAUGUUGGAGAUUACUACUGUCUGAGUUUACAUACUGAUUUAACGUUCACACAGUGA